rnacentral:tRNA from 1 species
GAUGGUAUAGCUCAGUGGUAGAGCUUCUGCUUAGCAUGCACAAGUCCUGAGUUCAAUCCCCAGUACCUCCA